GUGAUAAAGUGAAAUAGAUGAAGUCAAGAUACGUGAUUAGUGCAUAUAAUGAUGUGAAACAAGUGACUAGAUAAAAGAAAAUGAAAGAAGUUGCAGUUGAUGCAGAUUGUGCUUGUCUCAAAUUUGGUGAAGUUUCACUACUCAUAUUUCCUCCUUCACUGGCAUGUUGUAAAAGGAUCAAAACAAGUUACAUAAAACCUAGGAAUAAUAUAAAAAUGAAACUCAAAACACCAAAGUUAUGGUAAUGAGCACACCAUUACAUUACUUGUUUGACUACUUCCCAGCUUGUCC
rnacentral:lncRNA from 1 species